AUUGAACGCUGGCGGCAUGCCUUACACAUGCAAGUCGAACGGCAGCACGGGGCAACCUGGUGGCGAGUGGCGAACGGGUGAGUAAUGCAUCGGAACGUACCUUUCAGUGGGGGAUAACGUAGCGAAAGUUACGCUAAUACCGCAUAUUCUGUGAGCAGGAGUGCAGGGGAACGCAAGACCUUGCGCUGAUGGAGCGGCCGAUGUCAGCUUAACAAGUUGGUGAGGUAAAGGCUCACCAAGGCGACGAGCUGUAGCGGGUCUGAGAGGAUGAUCCGCCACACUGGAACUGAGACACGGUCAAGACUCCUACGGGAGGCAGCAGUGGGGAAUUUUGGACAAUGGGGGCAACCCUGAUCCAGCCAUGCCGCGUGAGUGAAGAAGGCUUUCGGGUUGUAAAGCUCUUUCGGCCGGGAAGAAAUCGCACGGGCUAAUACCCUGUGUGGAUGACGGUACCGGAAUAAGAAGCACCGGCUAACUACGUGCCAGCCGCCGCCGUAACAC
rnacentral:rRNA from 1 species